rnacentral:rRNA from 1 species
UACGAAGGGGGCUAGCGUUACUCGGAAUCACUGGGCGUAAAGGGUGCGUAGGCGGGUCUUUAAGUCAGGGGUGAAAUCCUGGAGCUCAACUCCAGAACUGCCUUUGAUACUGAAGAUCUUGAGUUCGGGAGAGGUGAGUGGAACUGCGAGUGUAGAGGUGAAAUUCGUAGAUAUUCGCAAGAACACCAGUGGCGAAGGCAGCAUUCUGGACCGACAUUGACGCUGAGGAGCGAAAGCCAGGGGAGCAAACGGG